rnacentral:rRNA from 1 species
UACGUAGGGGGCAAGCGUUGUCCGGAAUCAUUGGGCGUAAAGCGCGUGUAGGCGGCCAGAUAAGUCCGCUGUGAAAUCUCGAGGCUCAACUUCGAGCUGUCGGUGGAAACUGUCUGGCUAGAGUCCGGAAGAGGAGAAUGGAAUUCCUGGUGUAGCGGUGAAAUGCGUAGAUAUCAGGAGGAACACCGAUGGCGAAGGCAGGUCUCUGGGCUGACACUGACGCUCAUGCACGAAAGCGUGGGGAGCAAAUAGG